rnacentral:rRNA from 1 species
GAUAGAAAAUAGGUGCCCGUACCGCAAACCGACACAGGUAGUCAAGAUGAGAAUUCUAAGGUGAGCGAGCGAACUCUCGUUAAGGAACUCGGCAAAAUGACCCCGUAACUUCGGGAGAAGGGGUGCUCUUUAGGGUUAACGCCCAGAAGAGCCGCAGUGAAUAGGCCCAAGCGACUGUUUAUCAAAAACACAGGUCUCUGCUAAACCGUAAGGUGAUGUAUAGGGGCUGACGCCUGCCCGGUGCUGGAAGGUUAAGAGGAGUGGUUAGCUUCUGCGAAGCUACGAAUCGAAGCCCCAGUAAACGGCGGCCGUAACUAUAACGGUCCUAAGGUAGCGAAAUUCCUUGUCGGGUAAGUUCCGACCCGCACGAAAGGCGUAACGAUUUGGGCACUGUCUCAACGAGAGACUCGGUGAAAUCAUAGUACCUGUGAAGAUGCAGGUUACCCGCGACAGGACGGAAAGACCCCGUGGAGCUUUACUGUAGCCUGAUAUUGAAAUUCGGCACAGCUUGUACAGGAUAGGUAGGAGCCUUUGAAACGUGAGCGCUAGCUUACGUGGAGGCGCUGGUGGGAUACUACCCUAGCUGUGUUGGCUUUCUAACCCGCACCACUUAUCGUGGUGGGAGACAGUGUCAGGCGGGCAGUUUGACUGGGGCGGUCGCCUCCUAAAAGGUAACGGAGGCGCUCAAAGGUUCCCUCAGAAUGGUUGGAAAUCAUUCAUAGAGUGUAAAGGCAUAAGGGAGCUUGACUGCGAGACCUACAAGUCGAGCAGGGUCGAAAGACGGACUUAGUGAUCCGGUGGUUCCGCAUGGAAGGGCCAUCGCUCAACGGAUAAAAGCUACCCCGGGGAUAACAGGCUUAUCUCCCCCAAGAGUUCACAUCGACGGGGAGGUUUGGCACCUCGAUGUCGGCUCAUCGCAUCCUGGGGCUGUAGUCGGUCCCAAGGGUUGGGCUGUUCGCCCAUUAAAGCGGUACGCGAGCUGGGUUCAGAACGUCGUGAGACAGUUCGGUCCCUAUCCGUCGUGGGCGUAGGAAAUUUGAGAGGAGCUGUCCUUAGUACGAGAGGACCGGGAUGGACAUACCUCUGGUGUACCAGUUGUCGUGCCAACGGCAUAGCUGGGUAGCUAUGUGUGGACGGGAUAAGUGCUGAAAGCAUCUAAGCAUGAAGCCCCCCUCAAGAUGAGAUUUCCCAACUUCGGUUAUAAGAUCCCUCAAAGAUGAUGAGGUUAAUAGGUUCGAGGUGGAAGCAUGGUGACAUGUGGAGCUGACGAAUACUAAUCGAUCGAAGACUUAAUCAA